rnacentral:tRNA from 1 species
GGGCCCAUAGCUCAAUGGCAGAGCAGCCGGCUCAUAACCGGUUAGGUCCUGGUUCGAGUCCGGGUGGGCCCACCA